rnacentral:misc_RNA from 1 species
GAUGAAGAACGUAGUGAAAUGCGAUACGUAAUGUGAAUUGCAAAUUCAGUGAAUCAUCGAGUCUUUGAACGCACAUUGCGCCCCCUGGUAUUCCGGGGGGCAUGCCUGUCCGAGCGUCAUUACUGCCCUCAAGCCCGGCUUGUGUGUUGGGCCCCGUCCUCCGAUCCCGGGGGACGGGCCCGAAAGGCAGCGGCGGCACCGCGUCCGGUCCUCGAGCGUAUGGGGCUUUGUCACCCGCUCUGUAGGCCCGGCCGGCGCUUGCCGAUCAACCCCAAUUUUUAUAGGUUGACCUCGGAUCAGGUAGGGAUACCCGCUGAACUUAAGCAUAUCAAUAAGCGGAGGA